AAUAUGAACAGCUAUGUUUAAUUUAUCAAAUUUGCAAGCAAUGAUGAUUCCAUUAAAAUGAAAAAAAAUCAUGUUUUAGGAUUAGUUAAAUGUGGUAGCAAAUGCUGGUACUGAUUAGAAUUCUUACAACUGCAAGUGACAGGAAACAGACUAACUUAAGCAAAAGGACUGCAUUAAGCCAGGAAAUUCCAAAAGUCCCUGUAGUAUAACAGUUUCAGGUAUGGCUGGAUUCAGGACUCCAGAAUAUAACCAGGACUCAGUUUCCUGCCAUUUCUCUUUCUUUUCCGCAGGGUUGGUGUCAGUGGCAGGUUUCACAUGCUGGCAAGCUGGAGCCAGCAGCUCCAGCUCCAGCUCUAGCACCCCUGGAGUUUUGAGUCCAGUGAAAAAAACGAUGAGAGGCUUUGUCCCAGAUAUUUUAGCCUGAGUCUCAAUGCCUCUCAUUGGCUCCAACAGAUCACAUGCCCAGCCCUGAGCCAAUCAACAUGGCCACAUCCGGGUCAGUUACUACUGCCUCCGCCCCAUGCUGUGGAGCCCGGCUGGAAGCCCGGGGGUUGUUGGGUCUUCACCCGGGAAAUGGGGAGAGAGACUGCGGGGCAGCUGGCACCACAUACGUGCCUUACAGGUGGGGUGUGGGGACUUAGGAGGGCUUAGCACCCAGAGCAUUAGCCCAGGGCCUGGCCCCUGGUGGCUUCUCCCGGCCGCUGGCUGCUUGGCAGGGCUGGAGGGGAGGAGACCCACAGUUUCGGGCUUGAGUCACCUCCCUCCUGGCCAGGCUUCGGCGGCACUGACUCAGCGCCUGCGUGAGCUGGAUGCUGCCUGGAAAGCUAAUCAGCCUCUGAGGGGAGAGGAGAGGAGAAGAAAUGGUGGUAGAGAAAGAAAGGCAAGGGGAGCUGUGCAGAACCACCCGGAAGCUUGAGAGUUCAACGCGGAGAACCUGCUCUGUGCCAGGCCCCCACCUGGGAGGUGUGGGCAACCUUCCUGCCUUCCGGGUGCUCAGAGUCUAGUCUGGAGACAAUAAGAAAAAUGGUUAAUCACCAUGGAAUGUGCUAGCGCCUUAGCCCGAAGCAGGGGUCUGGUUAUUGAGGUUUGUUGAAGGAAGAUGCCUGUAAGGGCUGGGUGCGGUGGCUCACGCCUGUAAUCCCAGCACUUUGGGAGACCAAGGUGGGCGGAUCACCUGAGGUCAGGUGUUCGAGAUCAGCUUGGUCAACAUGGUGAAACCCUGCCUCUUCUAAAAAUGCAAAAAUUAGCCAGGCGUGGCAGUAGGUGCCUGUAAUCCCAGCUACUCGGGAGGCUGAGGGAGGAGAAGCACUUGAACCCGGGAGGCAGAGGUUGCAAUGAGCUGAGAUUGGCCACUGCACUCCAGCCUGGGUGACAAGAGCAAAACUCCCCCUCAAAAAAAGAAAAGAGGGGGAGGGCAGGGGAGAAGGGGGAAGGGGGAAGGAAAGCAGGUAUUGAAGGAGAAAUUGCUGAGCUGGGCUCAGGUCUAGCCUUGGCCUGGGUUAGAGGAGUGGGCUCCAAGCAGAGUGGCCCCCUUAGAGGCAAAGAGAAUGGCCUUGUCUGCCUCCUUUCAGGCUUUGGAUGGGGCUGAUAGGUGAGGUGGUGGGUGCUUGUCAGCCAAGGGCCCCUCCACAUAAGGGGACAGGUGGGGGGCAGCUGCGAGUCUGUAGACCCAAGACUUGCAGCAGCUGGAGGACCGGUGAGCAGCCUGGUAAAGCGACCUGGGGAGGCACCAGCAGCAUCUGCUGCAGUAUGGCCACACUAGCUGUUUGAUGGAGGACAGGGUAGGGAGCAGAGAGUAGGGAGCCGAGGGCAGGGAGCUUCCAGAAGGUCAUUCUGCUGCAUUGUGAAGAACAGCUGAGGAGCCACCGCGCCCGGCCAAAGCUGGUAGCUUUUAGGUCAUCUAGUAAAUGGGUUGGAACAGCAAAUAGUAUAUAAUGACUCCCAAAUCCAAAGAGUCUCAUGAAAUAUCACUUCUCUCUCUCUCUCUCUUUUUAAUUGUUAAGGAAUGGGAUCUUGCUAUAUGCCCAGGCUGGAGUGUAGUGUGAUUCACAGGCGUGAUCAUAGCACACUGAGGCCUCGAAUUCCUGGGCUGGUGCCCAGGUGUGUGCCACUGCACCUGGCUAAUCACACCUCUUUUGUGGUAGUGGGUGUAACGUAAGGUAAACUGUUCUUUACUUUUUUUUUUUUUUGGAGACAGAGUCUUGCUCUGUCAUCCAAGCUGGAGUGGCAGUGGCAUGAUCAUGGCUCACUGCAGCCUCAACCUCCCAAGCUCAAACAGUCCUCCUCACCUCAGCCCUCUGAGUAACUGGGACCACAGGCAUGCACCACCAUAUGCCCGGCUAAUUUUUUAUUUUUCGUAGAGACAAGGUCUUACUAUGUUGCCCACGCUGGUCUUGAACUGCCAGGCUCAAGUGAUCCUCUCAACUCGGCCUCCCAAAGAUUUGGAAUUACAGGCGUGAGCCACCACACCCCGCCUGUUCUUUACUUUGUAGGAUAAAUCGGGACGUGUUCAGAACACUGGACCCCAAAACCUUUACUGAGAAAUUGGGCCUUUGUGUUUUCAUGACAUUUCUGUCACAUUUAGGAUACCUACACUUUUCUGCUUCCCAGGCCCUAGGAGCAUAAUGUUGUCAGUAGAGUGGAAUAGCAUUGUGUUUUGUGUAAUGAGGAUGUGCUAAAGUCUGAGGUUUGGAGAACUGGCAGAAGAGUUAAUGGAGUCCCGAGGCAAGAUGGUAAAGGUGUAUUGAUGACUCUGAUGCAUGAAAGCAGGGUGUCUGACCUCUUCUUCUUGAAAUAGAGAAAUAGCAUUUGUCAGCUCAGUAACUGCAUACCAGGUGUGGGAGACUGUGUUUAUUUUCUCCCGCAAUGAGAACAUAUCUGAAACAGCAGCUGCAGUUGGCGUUGUCACAUAAUUAAGUUUAUGGUAAUUCACUGUCAUUCUCUCAGAGACCCAUCUGCCAUCUUCACUGGCCAAACUGAAGAAUGAAGGGGAAAUUGAUAAAAUCACCACCCCAGAAUUUUUCAAGGCCGUGAUGAUAUUAUUAAUCGCUUCAGUUGCCCAGGAGUUUCAGCGUUGCUUUUGGUUUAUGUGUUAGGCUGUUUUUGUGUUGCUGUUAAGGAAUAACUGAGACUGGGUAAUUUAUAAAGAAAAGAGGUUUAAUUGGCUCAUGGUUCUGCAGGCUGUAGAGGAAGUAUGUUGCUGAUAUCUGCUUGGUUUCUGCUGAGGCCUCAGAAAGCUUGCAAUCAUGGCAGAAGGUAAAGGGGGA
rnacentral:lncRNA from 10 species